UGCUCGAGUGGCGAACGGGUGAGUAACACGUGAGUAACCUGCCCUUGACUUUGGGAUAACUUCAGGAAACUGGGGCUAAUACCGGAUAGGAGCUCCUGCUGCAUGGUGGGGGCUGGAAAGUUUCGGCGGUUGGGGAUGGACUCGCGGCUUAUCAGCUUGUUGGUGGGGUAGUGGCUUACCAAGGCUUUGACGGGUAGCCGGCCUGAGAGGGUGACCGGCCACAUUGGGACUGAGAUACGGCCCAG
rnacentral:rRNA from 1 species